GACGAACGCUGGCGGCGUGCUUAACACAUGCAAGUCGAACGGAAAGGCCCUGCUUUUGUGGGGUGCUCGAGUGGCGAACGGGUGAGUAACACGUGAGUAACCUGCCCUUGACUUUGGGAUAACUUCAGGAAACUGGGGCUAAUACCGGAUAGGAGCUCCUGCUGCAUGGUGGGGGUUGGAAAGUUUCGGCGGCUGGGGAUGGACUCGCGGCUUAUCAGCUUGUUGGUGGGGUAGUGGCUUACCAAGGCUUUGACGGGUAGCCGGCCUGAGAGGGUGACCGGCCACAUUGGGACUGAGAUACGGCCCAGACUCCUACGGGAGGCAGCAGUGGGGAAUAUUGCACAAUGGGCGGAAGCCUGAUGCAGCAACGCCGCGUGCGGGAUGACGGCCUUCGGGUUGUAAACCGCUUUCGCCCGUGACGAAGCGUGAGUGACGGUAAUGGGUAAAGAAGCACCGGCUAACUACGU
rnacentral:rRNA from 1 species